UUGCACAUUACAAUAGGAAGCAAAAAUCGAUAGCUUACACACUUCAACAAGAAAGCUAUCUUGUAUUUGCUUUCGAAAUUUUUACUAACUUGUAUGUUGUAAAACUUGCUCACUUUUUCAAACACUUUGCUAGCUUGCACUUUGUAAAGGAAGCAAAAAUAACACUUCUCAAAAGAGAAGAAAGAACUUACUAUCUUGAACAUCACAAAAAU
rnacentral:lncRNA from 1 species